UACAGAGACUGCAAGCGUUAUUCGGAUUCACUGGGCGUAAAGGGUGCGCAGGCGGCCAAGUGUGUUAGGCGUGAAAGCCUGGGGCUUAACCCCAGAAUUGCACCUAAAACUACAUGGCUAGAGCAUUGGAGAGGGUAGCGGAAUUCACGGUGUAGCAGUGAAAUGCGUAGAUAUCGUGAGGAACACCAGAGGCGAGGGCGGCUACCUGGACAAUUGCUGACGCUCAGGCACGAAAGCGUGGGGAGCAAAAGGG
rnacentral:rRNA from 1 species